CACAGAACAUGUGUUUGGCUGGCUGCCUGGCUAUGAGGUGAAUUUUAAGUAACUUUUCAGGCCAUAUUUACCUGAGGGGUUCAGACAGCAUUAGAGUAUGGCCUCAGUUUGCUUUCCAAAAGUAUGCUAAGUUACAUACGAUACUCUCUUUGAAAGUUAAACAAUAGAUCAAGAGACCUGGUACAAAGGAUUUCUCAUAUAAGUAACUGGUAGAGAAAAAUUAAAAUGUAGUUUUGUAUAUUAUAUUUUUGAGACCAACCCUACUGAAGAAUUCUCUACAUAUGGACCAUGAUAUGCAGCUAGAAAUCACCAAGCAGAGAUGUUCCAAGUAUCAAUUUUGUGACAGGAGUAUUUAGAAGAGAAGCAUCAUGAUGCUUGCAUCUUACAUUCAAGUGGUUUGACAAAAACAUCGACAUUAAUUCCUUGAGUUUCUUUUCUACAAAAGCACUGGCUAUUAAUUCUGAAACAACUUUCUGUGUAUUCUAAAAAGGCUCAAAUAAAUACGUUGCAGAUAAAUGAAGCCACUUUUCUCACUGUUGAAGAAGAAAAUUACAGAUAUGAAAACAGACAGGGUCUGCUCUGUUGGCCAGGCUGGAGCGCAGUGUCACAAUGUCUACUCACUGCAGGCUCUACCUCCUGGGCUCAAGCGAUUCUCACACCUCAGCCUCAAGAAUGGCUCAGACUACAGGCAUGUACCUCUGUGCCUGGCUAAGAUUUGUAGUUUUUUGGUAGACACAGGGUCUCACUAUGUUGCCCAGGCUGGUCUUGAACUCUAUAGUGUUUGAUCAUAGAAGUGGAGAUACUAACCAAAAAUCUUUUCAAAUUAAGCCUAAUAAACACAGACAUAAUAAUCUGACUAUAUUCAAACAAAUCGAAUAGUUAGUGUGCAGAUCCUCUUUCUAGAAAACCAAGUGCCAUUUUUUAAAAAAUCAAAGACUUAAUGAGCAAUUCUUUUUGUGCAAAGGUUGAUCAAGGGCUCACUGUAUUUUAUAUGGUUGUGUGGGAAAAUGCAUUACUAGUUUAUUAUGGCUUGGGUCCAUUCUCAAGGUGCCUCGUUUUUGUCCUAGAAAUGGAGUUUCUAUAUCAAUCUGCUUCAUAACCUUGGGGAGUCUUGUGAUGAGUACUGGUGGAAAAGCGUUUAGAUGAAGAUAAAUGAAAGCCUUACUAAGCCAAAUUCAUUUUAUUUAGACAUGCAAGUCACAUGGAAAUAAAUGUUAUUUAGGAGUAAUGUAAGUUGUAAAUCUGUUUUUUCCUUAACAUGAAUUGUAUAUGUUUAGAACUGCCUGGUGUAUAGUCUGGGCCAGGGGCCAGUUUUUCUCGGACUAAGGCUAAAUCCUGUAAAUUCAC
rnacentral:lncRNA from 1 species